UACCAGCACCCCGAGUGGUCGGGACGAUUAUUGGGCCUAAAGCAUCCGUAGCCGGCCUUACAAGUCCUCCGUUAAAUCCAGCUGCUUAACAGAUGGGCUGCGGAGGAUACUAUAAGACUAGGAGGCAGGAGAGGCAAGCGGUACUCAGUGGGUAGGGGUAAAAUCCGUUGAUCCAUUGAAGACCACCAGUGGCGAAGGCGGCUUGCGAGAAUGCGCUCGACGGUGAGGGAUGAAAGCUGGGGGAGCAAACCGG
rnacentral:rRNA from 1 species